ACGGGCUUUUCGGAGCUAGUGGCGGACGGGUGAGUAACGCGUGAGAAUCUGGCUUCAGGUUCGGGACAACAGUUGGAAACGGCUGCUAAUACCGGAUGUGCCUUAGGGUGAAAGAUUUAUCACCUGAAGAUGAGCUCGCGUCUGAUUAGCUAGUAGGUGUGGUAAGAGCGCACCUAGGCGACGAUCAGUAGCUGGUCUGAGAGGAUGAUCAGCCACACUGGGACUGAGACACGGCCCAGACUCCUACGGGAGGCAGCAGUGGGGAAUUUUCCGCAAUGGGCGAAAGCCUGACGGAGCAAUACCGCGUGAGGGAGGAAGGCUCUUGGGUUGUAAACCUCUUUUCUCAGGGAAGAAUAAUGACGGUACCUGAGGAAUAAGCAUCGGCUAACUCCGUGCCAGCAGCCGCGGUAAUACGGAGGAUGCAAGCGUUAUCCGGAAUGAUUGGGCGUAAAGCGUCCGCAGGUGGCAAUGUAAGUCUGCUGUCAAAGCGUCUGGCUCAACCAGAUAAAGGCAGUGGAAACUACAUAGCUAGAGUAAGGUAGGGGUAGAGGGAAUUCCUGGUGUAGCGGUGAAAUGCGUAGAGAUCAGGAAGAACACCGGUGGCGAAAGCGCUCUGCUGGACCUAAACUGACACUGAGGGACGAAAGCUAGGGGAGCGAAUGGGAUUAGAUACCCCAGUAGUCCUAGC
rnacentral:rRNA from 1 species